AAGGUGAAGUCGUAACAAGGUUUCCGUAGGUGAACCUGCGGAAGGAUCAUUACAGAGUUCCUGCCCUCACGGGUAGAAACCCCACCCUUGUGUAUAUUAUAUUGUUGCUUUAGCAGGUCGCCCUCUGGGGCGUCGGCCUCGGCUGACUGUGCCUGCUAGAGGACCCUAAACUUUGAAAUACAGUGUCGUCUGAGUACUAUUGAAUAGUUAAAACUUUCAACAACGGAUCUCUUGGUUCUGGCAUCGAUGAAGAACGCAGCGAAAUGCGAUAAGUAAUGUGAAUUGCAGAAUUCAGUGAAUCAUCGAAUCUUUGAACGCACAUUGCGCCCCUUGGUAUUCCGGGGGGCAUGCCUGUUCGAGCGUCAUUUAGACCAACUCCCGCUCCGGCGGGGUCUUGGGCUGCGCCUUUGGGCGGGCCUUAAAACCAGUGGCGGUGCCCUAAGGCUCUACGCGUAGUAAUUCUUCUCGCGAUAGGGUCCUUGCGGUGUCUUGCCAGCAACCCCCAACUCUCUAGGGUUGACCUCGGAUCAGGUAGGGAUACCCGCUGAACUUAAGCAUAUCAA
rnacentral:rRNA from 1 species